UACGUAGGGUGCAAGCGUUGUCCGGAAUUAUUGGGCGUAAAGCGCACGUAGGCGGUUCGUUAAGUCGGAUGUGAAAGCCCUCGGCUCAACUGAGGAAGUGCACCCGAAACUGGCGAGCUUGAGUACGAAAGAGGAUCGCGGAAUUCCCGGUGUAGAGGUGAAAUUCGUAGAUAUCGGGAGGAACACCGGUGGCGAAGGCGGCGAUCUGGGUCGAUACUGACGCUGAGGUGCGAAAGCGUGGGGAGCAAACAGG
rnacentral:rRNA from 1 species